CUGGCUAUAUCAUGAUCAGUACAGGUGCAGUGUUUUUAGCUGUUGCUGUGAUUCUCACCGUUUGCACAAUAAAACGUCGAGGCUCUGAAACAGUCACACAAUCUCCCAGAGAGUCAAAUGGUAACGGUGAAAAUGACCAACAUUUGCUUCCUCUUCAAUCAAGAGAAAAAGACGAUUUACCCGAAUCUGUAUAUCAGAGUCUAGACCCAGCCACAAACCAAUCAGAUUCAAUCUACCAGAGUCUGAC